rnacentral:rRNA from 1 species
GACGAACGCUGGCGGCGUGCCUAAUACAUGCAAGUCGAGCGGACAAACGGGAACCUGGCUCUCCUUGUGAGCGGGGCAGGCGGGUGAAACACGUGUGCAACCCCCCUGUAUGAGUGGGAUAUCUCCUGGAGAACGGGGAGAUUAUCGGAUAAUAUCUUUUGACCCGUGUGGGUCAGCAGAAAGAUGGGGUCUGGCAUUCCCUACUGGUGGGCUCCGCGCGGGAUUGGCUAGUUGGUAGGUUAACGCCUUACCAGGGCAACGAUCGCUAGCCGACCUGAGAGGGUGAUCGGCCACACUGGAACUGAGACACGGUCCAGACUCCUACGGGAGGCAGCAGUAGGGAAUCUGCUGCAAUGGGCGAAAGCCUGACGGAGCAACGCCGCGUGAGUGAUGAAGGUCUUCGGAUCGUAAAACUCUGUUAUUAGGGAAGAACAUAUGUCGAAGUAACUGUGCAUAUCUUGACGGUACCUAAUCAGAAAGCCACGGCUAACUACGUG